CAAUAGCGUAUAUUAAAGUUGUUGCGGUUAAAAAGCUCGUAGUUGGAGUUCUGCCAGGUGACACUCGUCCGCCCAAGUGGUGUGUACAGGGUGUGCAUCUGGCCCUUUCAAGGGGAACGUGUCUGCACUUCAUUGUGUGGUGCGAGAUCCUUGACUUUUACUUUGAGGAAAUAAGAGUGUUCCAAGCAGGCUCUCGUCGUGCAUAGCUCAGCAUGGAAUAAUAGCAUUGGACUUCGUUUCUACGCUGUUGGUUGCAAGAAGCGAGGUAAUGAUGAAGAGGGAUAGUUGGGGGCAUUCGUAUUUAACUGUCAGAGGUGAAGUUCUUGGAUUUGUUAAAGACGGACUACUGCGAAAGCAUCUGCCAUGGAUGUUUUCAUUGA
rnacentral:rRNA from 1 species